AGUGAACGCUGGCGGUAGGCCUAACACAUGCAAGUCGAACGGCAGCACAGUAAGAGCUUGCUCUUACGGGUGGCGAGUGGCGGAAGGGUGAGGAAUACAUCGGAAUCUACUUUUUCGUGGGGGCUAACGUAGGGAAACUUACGCUAAUACCGCAUACGACCUACGGGUGAAAGCAGGGGAUCUUCGGACCUUGCGCGAUUGAAUGAGCCGAUGUCGGAUUAGCUAGUUGGCGGGGUAAAGGCCCACCAAGGCGACGAUCCUUAACUGCUCUGAAAGGAUGAACCGACAGCCUGUAUGUGAGACACGGCACCGACUCCUACGCGAGGACGCAGUGGAGAAUAUUGGACGAUGGAGGCAUGCCUGAUCCAGCCAUACCGGGUGGGUGAAGAAGGCCUUCUGGUUGGAGAGCCCUUUUGUUGUUAAAGAAAAGCAGCAGUUUAAUACCCCACUGUUCUGACGGUACCCAAAGAAUAAGCACCGGCUAACUUCGUG
rnacentral:rRNA from 1 species